rnacentral:rRNA from 1 species
AUUGAACGCUGGCGGAAUGCUUUACACAUGCAAGUCGAACGGCAGCACGGACUUCGGUCUGGUGGCGAGUGGCGAACGGGUGAGUAAUACAUCGGAACGUGCCCGGACGUGGGGGAUAACUACUCGAAAGAGUGGCUAAUACCGCAUACGAUCCAAGGAUGAAAGCGGGGGAUCGCAAGACCUCGCGCGUUUGGAGCGGCCGAUGGCAGAUUAGGUAGUUGGUGAGGUAAAGGCUUACCAAGCCUGCGAUCUGUAGCUGGUCUGAGAGGAUGAUCAGCCACACUGGGACUGAGACACGGCCCAGACUCCUACGGGAGGCAGCAGUGGGGAAUUUUGGACAAUGGGCGAAAGCCUGAUCCAGCCAUUCCGCGUGCAGGAUGAAGGCCCUCGGGUUGUAAACUGCUUUUGUACGGAACGAAAAGGCUCUUGCUAAUACCAGGAGUCCAUGACGGUACCGUAAGAAUAAGCACCGGCUAACUACGUG